GAGCUGUGUGUCCUCCGGUUGAUACUCGAAGACUCAAAGGGAUCAUUCAGCAGCUGUGGAACUUUUUCUAUUCUGCCAGAAUGUUCAUGGGCUCCUCUGCCUGCAGUUGCAGCAUGAAGACCGCCUGAAGGCAGAGAGCGGCGGAGUCAUCAGGAAGGGGAACCCUCUCCAGGGCCCUAGAGUGGGCUCACACGUGCUGACAAAGCAAGAGACUUGGCUGGAGGGGCGCCCGGGAGGACAGCAGCAGGCUAGGGCAUGGAGGAGAAAUAUACUUCCAUGUUUGCUUACAGGGAACUCUAGAAGGACCCGUAAGAAACAAAACACUACCUGCGGAGGGCAGACGGCCCUGGGCACACAGGCUAAACGACAGGAGGCACAAAUUAAGGCGAGUAUAUAAUAUAUCUCUA